AGCUGAGGAAAAGAAACCAACCGGGAUUGCCUCAGUAACGGCGAGUGAAGCGGCAAAAGCUCAAAUUUGAAAUCUGCGUAAGCCGAGUUGUAAUUUGAAGAUGGCUACUUUGGUAAUGGCUCUUGUCUAUGUUCCUUGGAACAGGACGUCACAGAGGGUGAGAAUCCCGUGCGAUGAGAUGUCCAUUACCGUGUAAAGUGCUUUCGAAGAGUCGAGUUGUUUGGGAAUGCAGCUCUAAGUGGGUGGUAAAUUCCAUCUAAAGCUAAAUAUUGGCGAGAGACCGAUAGCGAACAAGUACAGUGAUGGAAAGAUGAAAAGAACUUUGAAAAGAGAGUGAAAAAGUACGUGAAAUUGUUGAAAGGGAAGGGCUUGAGAUCAGACUUGGUAUUUUGUAUGGCUUGCUUUCGGGCGGGUCCUCUGCAGUUUACUGGGCCAGCAUCGGUUUGGGUGGCAGGAUAAUAGCAUAGGAAUGUGGCUCUACUUCGGUGGAGUGUUAUAGCCUUUGUUGAUACUGCCUGCCUAGACCGAGGACUGCGUCUUUUGACUAGGAUGCUGGCAUAAUGAUCCUAAGCCGCCCGUCUUGA
rnacentral:rRNA from 1 species